rnacentral:miRNA from 14 species
UGCGUAUUUAAGAAAGCAUCCUCCUUGGGCUGGAGAGAUGGCUCAGCCGUUAAAGGCUAGGCUCACAACCAAAUAUAUA